CCCUUCGGGGUGUGACUGCGUACCUUUUGUAUAAUGGGUCAGCGACUUAUAUUCUGUAGCAAGGUUAACCGUAUAGGGGAGCCGGAGGGAAACCGAGUCUUAAUUGGGCGUUAAGUUGCAGGGUAUAGACCCGAAACCCGGUGAUCUAGCCAUGGGCAGGUUGAAGGUUGGGUAACACUAACUGGAGGACCGAACCGACUAAUGUUGAAAAAUUAGCGGAUGACCUGUGGCUGGGGGUGAAAGGCCAAUCAAACCGGGAGAUAGCUGGUUCUCCCCGAAAGCUAUUUAGGUAGCGCCUCGUGAAUUCAUCUCCGGGGGUAGAGCACUGUUUCGGCUAGGGGGCCAUCCCGGCUUACCAACCCGAUGCAAACUGCGAAUACCGGAGAAUGUUAUCACGGGAGACACACGGCGGGUGCUAACGUCCGUCGUGAAGAGGGAAACAACCCAGACCGCCAGCUAAGGUCCCAAAGUCAUGGUUAAGUGGGAAACGAUGUGGGAAGGCCCAGACAGCCAGGAUGUUGGCUUAGAAGCAGCCAUCAUUUAAAGAAAGCGUAAUAGCUCACUGGUCGAGUCGGCCUGCGCGGAAGAUGUAACGGGGCUAAACCAUGCACCGAAGCUGCGGCAGCGAACGUAUCACCCAAGACAACUUUACGGAGUUGACGAUUGACGGAGCGAAGCGACGUCAAAGCGUUCAUUAAAGUCGAGUUGGCUUAGGGAUACGUUCGUUGGGUAGGGGAGCGUUCUGUAAGCCUGUGAAGGUGUGUCGUGAGGCAUGCUGGAGGUAUCAGAAGUGCGAAUGCUGACAUAAGUAACGAUAAAGCGGGUGAAAAGCCCGCUCGCCGGAAGACCAAGGGUUCCUGUCCAACGUUAAUCGGGGCAGGGUGAGUCGACCCCUAAGGCGAGGCCGAAAGGCGUAGUCGAUGGGAAACGGGUUAAUAUUCCCGUACUUGGUGUUACUGCGAAGGGGGGACGGAGAAGGCUAUGUUGGCCGGGCGACGGUUGUCCCGGUUUAAGCGUGUAGGUGUGUGUUCCAGGUAAAUCCGGUUCACUUUAACACUGAGGCGUGACGACGAGGCACUACGGUGCUGAAGCAACAAAUGCCCUGCUUCCAGGAAAAGCCUCUAAGCAUCAGGUAACACGAAAUCGUACCCCAAACCGACACAGGUGGUCAGGUAGAGAAUACCAAGGCGCUUGAGAGAACUCGGGUGAAGGAACUAGGCAAAAUGGUGCCGUAACUUCGGGAGAAGGCACGCUGACACGUAGGUGAAGUGAUUUACUCAUGGAGCUGAAGUCAGUCGAAGAUACCAGCUGGCUGCAACUGUUUAUUAAAAACACAGCACUGUGCAAACACGAAAGUGGACGUAUACGGUGUGACGCCUGCCCGGUGCCGGAAGGUUAAUUGAUGGGGUCAGCGUAAGCGAAGCUCCUGAUCGAAGCCCCGGUAAACGGCGGCCGUAACUAUAACGGUCCUAAGGUAGCGAAAUUCCUUGUCGGGUAAGUUCCGACCUGCACGAAUGGCGUAAUGAUGGCCAGGCUGUCUCCACCCGAGACUCAGUGAAAUUGAACUCGCUGUGAAGAUGCAGUGUACCCGCGGCAAGACGGAAAGACCCCGUGAACCUUUACUAUAGCUUGACACUGAACAUUGAGCCUUGAUGUGUAGGAUAGGUGGGAGGCUUUGAAGUGUGGACGCCAGUCUGCAUGGAGCCGACCUUGAAAUACCACCCUUUAAUGUUUGAUGUUCUAACGUGGACCCGUAAUCCGGGUUGCGGACAGUGUCUGGUGGGUAGUUUGACUGGGGCGGUCUCCUCCUAAAGAGUAACGGAGGAGCACGAAGGUUGGCUAAUCCUGGUCGGACAUCAGGAGGUUAGUGCAAUGGCAUAAGCCAGCUUGACUGCGAGCGUGACGGCGCGAGCAGGUGCGAAAGCAGGUCAUAGUGAUCCGGUGGUUCUGAAUGGAAGGGCCAUCGCUCAACGGAUAAAAGGUACUCCGGGGAUAACAGGCUGAUACCGCCCAAGAGUUCAUAUCGACGGCGGUGUUUGGCACCUCGAUGUCGGCUCAUCACAUCCUGGGGCUGAAGUAGGUCCCAAGGGUAUGGCUGUUCGCCAUUUAAAGUGGUACGCGAGCUGGGUUUAGAACGUCGUGAGACAGUUCGGUCCCUAUCUGCCGUGGGCGCUGGAGAACUGAGGGGGGCUGCUCCUAGUACGAGAGGACCGGAGUGGACGCAUCACUGGUGUUCGGGUUGUCAUGCCAAUGGCACUGCCCGGUAGCUAAAUGCGGAAGAGAUAAGUGCUGAAAGCAUCUAAGCACGAAACUUGCCCCGA
rnacentral:rRNA from 2 species